rnacentral:rRNA from 1 species
UACGUAGGGCGCAAGCGUUAUCCGGAAUACUGGGCGUAAAGCGUGCGCAGGCGGUGAUGUAAGACAGGUGUGAAAUCCCCGGGCUUAACCUGGGAACUGCAUUUGUGACUGCAUCGCUGGAGUGCGGCAGAGGGGGAUGGAAUUCCGCGUGUAGCAGUGAAAUGCGUAGAUAUGCGGAGGAACACCGAUGGCGAAGGCAAUCCCCUGGGCCUGCACUGACGCUCAUGCACGAAAGCGUGGGGAGCAAACAGG